rnacentral:rRNA from 1 species
CCCUUAGAUGUUCUGGGCCGCACACGCGCUACACUGAAGGAGGCAGUGUGUACUCCUGGAUCGAAAGAUUUGGGUAACCCGCGAAUCUCCUUCGUGCUAGGGAUUGAGGUUUGCAAUUAUCCUUCAUGAACGAAGAAUUCCCAGUAAGUGCAAGUCAUAAGCUUGCGCUGACUACGUCCCUGCCCUUUGUACACACCGCCCGUCGCUACUACCGAUUGAAUGAUUUAGUGAGGACUUCGGACUGGGACCGAUGCGGCUUUCGGGCUGCGUCGGUAUUCUGGAAAGAUGUCCAAACUGCAUCAUUUAGAGGAAGUAAAANUCGUANCA